AGUGAACGCUGGCGGCGUGCUUAACACAUGCAAGUCGAACGAGAACGGAUUAUAGCUUGCUAUAAUUGUCAGCUAAGUGGCGCACGGGUGAGUAAUGUAUAGGUAAUAUGCCUCUUACUAAGGGAUAACAAAUGGAAACGUUUGCUAAUACCUUAUACUCCUUAUUAACAGAAGUUAAUAAGGGAAAGAUUUAUUGGUAAGAGAUUAGCCUGUAUUGUAUCAGUUAGUUGGUGGGGUAAUGGCUUACCAAGACUAUGACACAUAACUGGUUUGAGAGGAUGAUCGGUCACACUGGAACUGAGACACGGUCCAGACUCCUACGGGAGGCAGCAGUGGGGAAUAUUGCACAAUGGGCGAAAGUCUGAUGCAGCAACGCCGCGUGGAGGAUGACACAUUUCGGUGCGUAAACUCCUUUUAUAUGAGAAGAUAAUGAUGGUAUUAUAUGAAUAAGCACCGGCUAACUCCGUGCCAGCAGCCGCCGUAA
rnacentral:rRNA from 1 species